rnacentral:misc_RNA from 1 species
CUGCCGGUUUCCUUUUGUUCCGGGCUUGUCACAUAAAAUUAAUAGUUGUUUUACAGGUACUAAUGUAAAGCUGGCUUAUUAUAACGUGUAUAAAAUAAAAUCAUUAUACACUAAGUUAAAGGAUCCAGUGCAGCAGGAUCAAAGAGCAGGUGUAGUGUACAAGAUCCCGUGCUCUUGUGGACUUUGUUAUGUGGGUCAAACCAAACAGUAUUUAAAAAAUAGGAUUUACCAACAUAGGAAUAGUUGUAGGAAUGUUAAAAUCUUGGAUGAGAACAAAACAGCGCUGGCCGCACAUUACUUCGACUCGGGUCAUGGGUUUGAUUUUGACAAAGCGAAGAUCUUAGAUUUAGAGAAUAACUGGUUAAAAAGAUCGGUUAGUGAAAUGGUUUGGAUUAAACUUAAUGACACGGUAAAUAAGCGUACUGACACCCAGAAUCUGAGUGCAAUGUACAACGAGAUUUUAUCGGUUUAUAACGAUUAUCUUGGUGACGCACGUUAGUUUUACUUUAUUUUUGAAUGUUUAGACUAUUUUAAUGUAUUUAAUUUUGUUUUGACUCAGAUAUUGUAGAAAUGUUUUAGAGUAUUGUUUUGAAUUCCCGCGGCGGUGAAUGUGGGAAACAAGGGCGCUUCAUUCGCUUACUGUUUCCUCAUUUAUGUAUAUUUUGAGGUCGACUGCGGUCGACAGUUUAUUUACAUGUACAAGUCGGUUCUGUUAGCUGCGUUCUUUUUAAUUAAUAAAUUUUUGAAUUUUGUUAAUUAUUUAUGAGUAGCUAAUGAAGUGGUAUAAGAAGAUUUAUAUUGUUUACGCUUAUAAAUUGAGACGCCUGAAGAAGGCCAAAUAAAAUGGUCGAAACGUUGCGGAAUCAAUGAUUUGCGUUUAUCAAUAGUCCAAGUUCCUGUUAAUUCCUGUUGUUUGUAUGAUAUAUCAUGGACGUUAAUAUAAUGGAUAGUUUACCUGGGGGAUUUUUCAACUUCGUUAAGCAUACAUAUGGAGACAGAGCACUUCACCUAAUUAAAUCUUGGGCAAAAUUGACAUCCACACGUGCUGGUUUGCUGAACAGAAGAGUCUUUUUACUCCAAUGUCGCUCCAACAAGGUAAUUCCCAAGCAUAUUAGUAACAACCUGAAGUGCACAUAUUCCUUGACUCUUGAAUACCAUCCUUUCAAGAAUCUCGGGGACAAGCUCAUACAUAAUUUUCAGAAGUCAGUGUUGAACGUUGAAAUUAAAAUUACUAUUUGGAAGCUACAGAAAGUGAAUGAAGAGCUGGGAGAGAUAUGUAACCAACUGAAGAGUUUAAUACCACAGCCCUUGUUUGACAAUUGUAAAUCUGUGAACAAGGUGAGGUUUUCAAAAAUCUUUACGAGGAUUAAAGAGGUUAACAUGAAGAAGUUGGAGGAGUUGGUACAACAACGUUUAAAUGGCAUCAGGUUACCGGAUGCAAAUAAAUGUGUUUUUAAUUACACUAAUAGAGAACUCCCCAAACAAGUUUACAGAACGCUAAGCCUGGAGCCAAACUUUGGGCUACAGAUCCAAAAUAAGAUCACUAUAGUUCCUGAAGUUAUUAAAGAUCUAGAGUAUUGCAUCAGUGCAGUAAAGUUAGACAAUUGUAAUGCGGCUGACUUAUCCGCAGUGAAAGAAAAUCUGAGAUCUAAAAGUAUCAACAUUUUAUCCAAUUUUUGUAAGGGACAAUCACGUUCUGAAGACCGUCUAAUGUUAAAUAAAGAUUUAAUCGUUACAAAAAAGUUUUUGAGAGAAAAUGAAGAUUUGGUGGUAUCAAGAUCAGACAAGGGGAACUCAACUGUCAUCAUGUUCCGAGAAGAGUACGAGAGAGAGAUGAGCGCACUAAUUAGUGACAGGACAACUUACCUACCUCUUCAUAGAGAUCCAACUCUCACGUACCAAAAAAGAGCCAAUAACCUGGUGGCGGAGCUAGCAUCUUCGGGUGUGAUUGACGAAGCUGAAGAGAAGAACCUUCGGUCGAGCUAUACUCGAGCACCACGGAUAUAUGGACUACGUAAGACGCACAAACCAACUUGCAAGUUACGUCCGGUAGUGAGUUGCAUACAAUCUCCUAGCUAUAAGUUGUCGCGAGUUGUACAUGAAAUUUUGACACCGGUUGUGGAUACUUUUAGUUUUAAUUUAUUAAAUUCUUUUCAAUUCGUUGAUUUUAUUAGAGACGUUGAAUUACAUAGUGAUUAUAGAUUGAUAUCACUUGACGUAGUCUCGUUGUUUACAAAUAUCCGUAAGGAUUUAGUAUUGAAGGUCAUUAAUGAAUCUUGGGACAACAUCAAACAUUUAGUUAAAGUUCCUAAAUUUUUGCUUAUUAAACUUAUAGAGUUUUGUUUUGAAACCAGUUAUUUUACGUAUAAUGGGGUGUUGUACAGACAGGUUGAAGGUUGUAGUAUGGGCAAUCCAGCUAGUCCGGUGUUGGCCAAUAUUGUUAUGAAUUAUGUGUUACAACAGAUAAUUACGGUCCUCCCGUUUAACAUUGCGUUUAUUAAAUUGUACGUAGAUGAUACUAUCGCUGCAGUCCCUGAGACGGAAUUAAACAGAGUCUUGGAGUUGUUUAAUAGCUUUGAAGAGAAUAUCCAGUUCACCAUGGAAGUGGAACAGAAUGGUUGUAUUCCAUUCCUAGAUAUCAUGGUUGAAAGAUCCAACAACCAUUUGAAGACUAAUUGGUACACCAAACCAACUAGUUCAGGAAGAAUUUUGAAUUUCUGUUCCAACCACCCAAUGUCACAGAAAGUGGGAAUGAUUCAUGGUUUACUGGAUAGAAUGUUUAGACUUAGCAGCGAAGAGUAUCAUGAGGACAAUUAUCAAAAAAUUGAGAUAUUGUUAACUAAUAACAGUUAUCCAAGAUCGUUUGUUCGUGCAGCUAUCAUUAAGUUUAAAGAGAAUAAAGCAAAUGGUGGGGUUGGUGGAGUUCGUCCUACGAAUUUCAUCAAGUACUGCCGGUUUCCUUUUGUUCCGGGCUUGUCACAUAAAAUUAAUAGUUGUUUUACAGGUACUAAUGUAAAGCUGGCUUAUUAUAACGUGUAUAAAAUAAAAUCAUUAUACACUAAGUUAAAGGAUCCAGUGCAGCAGGAUCAAAGAGCAGGUGUAGUGUACAAGAUCCCGUGCUCUUGUGGACUUUGUUAUGUGGGUCAAACCAAACAGUAUUUAAAAAAUAGGAUUUACCAACAUAGGAAUAGUUGUAGGAAUGUUAAAAUCUUGGAUGAGAACAAAACAGCGCUGGCCGCACAUUACUUCGACUCGGGUCAUGGGUUUGAUUUUGACAAAGCGAAGAUCUUAGAUUUAGAGAAUAACUGGUUAAAAAGAUCGGUUAGUGAAAUGGUUUGGAUUAAACUUAAUGACACGGUAAAUAAGCGUACUGACACCCAGAAUCUGAGUGCAAUGUACAACGAGAUUUUAUCGGUUUAUAACGAUUAUCUUGGUGACGCACGUUAGUUUUACUUUAUUUUUGAAUGUUUAGACUAUUUUAAUGUAUUUAAUUUUGUUUUGACUCAGAUAUUGUAGAAAUGUUUUAGAGUAUUGUUUUGAAUUCCCGCGGCGGUGAAUGUGGGAAACAAGGGCGCUUCAUUCGCUUACUGUUUCCUCAUUUAUGUAUAUUUUGAGGUCGACUGCGGUCGACAGUUUAUUUACAUGUACAAGUCGGUUCUGUUAGCUGCGUUCUUUUUAAUUAAUAAAUUUUUGAAUUUUGUUAAUUAUUUAUGAGUAGCUAAUGAAGUGGUAUAAGAAGAUUUAUAUUGUUUACGCUUAUAAAUUGAGACGCCUGAAGAAGGCCAAAUAAAAUGGUCGAAACGUUGCGGAAUCAA